UGCCUUUGAUCCUUUCGGGGUCGAUAAAUGAAGUACCAGUGAAACACUGGAGUCGAUAUAAUCGACUUAAUCCGUUUGUCUGUCCUUGAUUGUUCUCUCUGUAUUUAGCCCCUUGAGGGUGGUAAAAAUAUAGGUAUUUGUCUACCGUCACGUUCUGAGUUCAAAUUCCACCGAGGUCGACUUUGCCUUUUAUCAUUUCGGAGACGAUAAAUUAAGUACCAGUUACGCAUCGGGGUUGAUGUAAUUGACUUAAUCAUCGUUUGUCUCGUCCUCAU